rnacentral:rRNA from 1 species
UACGUAGGGUGCAAGCGUUGUCCGGAAUUACUGGGCGUAAAGAGCUCGUAGGCGGUUUGUUGCGUCGGCUGUGAAAUCCCGAGGCUCAACCUCGGGUCUGCAGUCGAUACGAGCAAACUAGAGUGUUGCAGGGGAGACUGGAAUUCCUGGUGUAGCGGUGAAAUGCGCAGAUAUCAGGAGGAACACCGGUGGCGAAGGCGGGUCUCUGGGCAACAACUGACGCUGAGGAGCGAAAGCGUGGGGAGCGAACAGG